rnacentral:rRNA from 1 species
UGGGGAAUCUUGGACAAUGGGCGCAAGCCUGAUCCAGCCAUGCCGCGUGAGUGAUGAAGGCCUUAGGGUUGUAAAGCUCUUUUUGCCGGGGACGAUAAUGACGGUACCCGGAGAAUAAGUCCCGGCUAACUUCGUGCCAGCAGCCGCGGUAAUACGAAGGGGACUAGCGUUGUUCGGAAUCACUGGGCGUAAAGCGCACGUAGGCGGAUUUGUAAGUCAGGGGUGAAAUCCCGGGGCUCAACCUCGGAACUGCCUUUGAUACUGCGGAUCUCGAGUCCGAUAGAGGUGAGUGGAAUUCCUAGUGUAGAGGUGAAAUUCGUAGAUAUUAGGAAGAACACCGGUGGCGAAGGCGGCUCACUGGAUCGGUACUGACGCUGAGGUGCGAAAGCGUGGGGAGCAAACAGGAUUAGAUACCCUCGUAGUCCCUGAGCGGGCUGGCAAGGCGCAU